AGAAAGAACGCUGAGACUGCUAAUCUCACAUUCCAUAACUAACAUUAUGGCUUUCUU
rnacentral:tRNA from 1 species